rnacentral:piRNA from 1 species
UAGAAGCAGAGCUACCCAUUAUACC